rnacentral:rRNA from 1 species
CCUACGGGGGGCAGCAGUGGGGAAUAUUGGGCAAUGGGGGAAACCCUGACCCAGCAACGCCGCGUGAAGGACGAAGGCCUUCGGGUUGUAAACUUCUUUGAUCAGGGACGAAAAAAAUGACGGUACCUGAAGAACAAGCCACGGCUAACUACGUGCCAGCAGCCGCGGUAAUACGUAGGUGGCGAGCGUUAUCCGGAUUUACUGGGUGUAAAGGGCGUGUAGGCGGCCUUGCAAGUCGGAUGUGAAAUCCCCAGGCUUAACCUGGGCAGGUCAUCCGAAACUGCAGAUCUUGAGUACUGGAGAGGAUAGUGGAAUUCCUAGUGUAGCGGUAAAAUGCGUAGAUAUUAGGAGGAACACCAGUGGCGAAGGCGGCUCUCUGGACAGUAACUGACGCUGAGGCGCGAAAGCGUGGGGAGCAAACAGGCUUAGAUACCCGGGUAGUC